CGUGGUUCUGUUUCUUAGCAUGGGAUAAUGGAAUAGGACCCUGACCUCCUAUUUUCAGUUGGUUUUGUUUACAGCGAGGUUAUAUCAGGGUAAUGAUUAAUAGGGAUAGUUGGGGGCAUUAAUAUUUAAUUGUCAGAAGUGAAAUUCUUGGAUUUAUGAAAGAUUAACUUCUGCGAAAGCGUUUGCCAAGGAUGUUUUCAUUAAUCAAGAACGAAAGUUAGGGGAUCGAAGACGAUCAGAUACCGUCGUAGUCUUAACCAUAAACGAUGCCGACCAGCGAUUAGGAGACGUUGAAUACAAAACACCGCUGUUAAUCCUUUCGGGGGUUAAUACUCUAAUUUUUUCUCCCUAACAAUCUGG
rnacentral:rRNA from 1 species